rnacentral:rRNA from 1 species
UACGUAGGAUGCAAGCGUUGUCCGGAAUUAUUGGGCGUAAAGAGCGAGCAGGCGGUUUGGAAAGUUGGACGUGAAAUUUUAGGGCUUAACCCUAAAGGGUCGUCCAAAACUCCCAGACUAGAGUGCAGGAGAGGAAAGCGGAAUUCCCGGUGUAGUGGUGAAAUGCGUAGAGAUCGGGUGGAACACCAGGGGCGAAGGCGGCUGCCUGGCCCUGACCUGACGCUGAGGCGCGAGAGCGUGGGGAGCAAACCGG